rnacentral:rRNA from 1 species
GUUAUAUGGUCAAGUGAAGAAGCGCAUACGGUGGAUGCCUUGGCAGUCAGAGGCGAUGAAAGACGUGGUAGCCUGCGAAAAGCUUCGGGGAGUCGGCAAACAGACUUUGAUCCGGAGAUCUCUGAAUGGGGGAACCCACCUAGGAUAACCUAGGUAUCUUGUACUGAAUCCAUAGGUGCAAGAGGCGAACCAGGGGAACUGAAACAUCUAAGUACCCUGAGGAAAAGAAAUCAACCGAGAUUCCCUUAGUAGUGGCGAGCGAACGGGGAUUAGCCCUUAAGCUUCAUUGAUUUUAGCGGAACGCUCUGGAAAGUGCGGCCAUAGUGGGUGAUAGCCCCGUACGCGAAAGGAUCUUUGAAGUGAAAUCGAGUAGGACGGAGCACGAGAAACUUUGUCUGAACAUGGGGGGACCAUCCUCCAAGGCUAAAUACUACUGACUGACCGAUAGUGAACCAGUACCGUGAGGGAAAGGCGAAAAGAACCCCGGAGAGGGGAGUGAAAUAGAACCUGAAACCGUAUGCGUACAAGCAGUGGGAGCCUACUUGUUAGGUGACUGCGUACCUUUUGUAUAAUGGGUCAGCGACUUAUAUUCAGUGGCAAGCUUAACCGUAUAGGGUAGGCGUAGCGAAAGCGAGUCUUAAUAGGGCGUUUAGUCGCUGGGUAUAGACCCGAAACCGGGCGAUCUAUCCAUGAGCAGGUUGAAGGUUAGGUAACACUGACUGGAGGACCGAACCCACUCCCGUUGAAAAGGUAGGGGAUGACUUGUGGAUCGGAGUGAAAGGCUAAUCAAGCUCGGAGAUAGCUGGUUCUCCUCGAAAGCUAUUUAGGUAGCGCCUCAUGUAUCACUCUGGGGGGUAGAGCACUGUUUCGGCUAGGGGGUCAUCCCGACUUACCAAACCGAUGCAAACUCCGAAUACCCAGAAGUGCCGAGCAUGGGAGACACACGGCGGGUGCUAACGUCCGUCGUGAAAAGGGAAACAACCCAGACCGCCAGCUAAGGUCCCAAAGUUGUGGUUAAGUGGUAAACGAUGUGGGAAGGCUUAGACAGCUAGGAGGUUGGCUUAGAAGCAGCCAYCCUUUAAAGAAAGCGUAAUAGCUCACUAGUCGAGUCGGCCUGCGCGGAAGAUGUAACGGGGCUCAAACCACACACCGAAGCUGCGGGUGUCACGUAAGUGACGCGGUAGAGGAGCGUUCUGUAAGCCUGUGAAGGUGAGUUGAGAAGCUUGCUGGAGGUAUCAGAAGUGCGAAUGCUGACAUGAGUAACGACAAUGGGUGUGAAAAACACCCACGCCGAAAGACCAAGGGUUCCUGCGCAACGUUAAUCGACGCAGGGUUAGUCGGUUCCUAAGGCGAGGCUGAAAAGCGUAGUCGAUGGGAAACAGGUUAAUAUUCCUGUACUUCUGGUUACUGCGAUGGAGGGACGGAGAAGGCUAGGCCAGCUUGGCGUUGGUUGUCCAAGUUUAAGGUGGUAGGCUGAAAUCUUAGGUAAAUCCGGGGUUUCAAGGCCGAGAGCUGAUGACGAGUCGUCUUUUAGAUGACGAAGUGGUUGAUGCCAUGCUUCCAAGAAAAGCUUCUAAGCUUCAGGUAACCAGGAACCGUACCCCAAACCGACACAGGUGGUCGGGUAGAGAAUACCAAGGCGCUUGAGAGAACUCGGGUGAAGGAACUAGGCAAAAUGGCACCGUAACUUCGGGAGAAGGUGCGCCGGCUAGGGUGAAGGAUUUACUCCGUAAGCUCUGGCUGGUCGAAGAUACCAGGCCGCUGCGACUGUUUAUUAAAAACACAGCACUCUGCAAACACGAAAGUGGACGUAUAGGGUGUGACGCCUGCCCGGUGCCGGAAGGUUAAUUGAUGGGGUUAGCGCAAGCGAAGCUCUUGAUCGAAGCCCCGGUAAACGGCGGCCGUAACUAUAACGGUCCUAAGGUAGCGAAAUUCCUUGUCGGGUAAGUUCCGACCUGCACGAAURGCGUAACGAUGGCGGCGCUGUCUCCACCCGAGACUCAGUGAAAUUGAAAUCGCUGUGAAGAUGCAGUGUAUCCGCGGCUAGACGGAAAGACCCCGUGAACCUUUACUGUAGCUUUGCACUGGACUUUGAGCCUGCUUGUGUAGGAUAGGUGGGAGGCUUUGAAGCGUGGACGCCAGUUCGCGUGGAGCCAUCCUUGAAAUACCACCCUGGCAUGCUUGAGGUUCUAACUCUGGUCCGUAAUCCGGAUCGAGGACAGUGUAUGGUGGGCAGUUUGACUGGGGCGGUCUCCUCCUAAAGAGUAACGGAGGAGUACGAAGGUGCGCUCAGACCGGUCGGAAAUCGGUCGCAGAGUAUAAAGGCAAAAGCGCGCUUGACUGCGAGACAGACACGUCGAGCAGGUACGAAAGUAGGUCUUAGUGAUCCGGUGGUUCUGUAUGGAAGGGCCAUCGCUCAACGGAUAAAAGGUACUCCGGGGAUAACAGGCUGAUACCGCCCAAGAGUUCAUAUCGACGGCGGUGUUUGGCACCUCGAUGUCGGCUCAUCACAUCCUGGGGCUGAAGCCGGUCCCAAGGGUAUGGCUGUUCGCCAUUUAAAGUGGUACGCGAGCUGGGUUUAGAACGUCGUGAGACAGUUCGGUCMCUAUCUGCCGUGGACGUUUGAGAUUUGAGAGGGGCUGCUCCUAGUACGAGAGGACCGGAGUGGACGAACCUCUGGUGUUCCGGUUGUCACGCCAGUGGCAUUGCCGGGUAGCUAUGUUCGGAAAAGAUAACCGCUGAAAGCAUCUAAGCGGGAAACUUGCCUCAAGAUGAGAUCUCACUGGGAACUUGAUUCCCCUGAAGGGCCGUCGAAGACUACGACGUUGAUAGGCUGGGUGUGUAAGCGUUGUGAGGCGUUGAGCUAACCAGUACUAAUUGCCCGUGAGGCUUGACCAUAUAAC